GGUAUGUAGCUCAGUGGUGGAGGGCUUGCCUCAUAUGCGUGAGACACUGGGUUCAAUCCUCAGCACCA
rnacentral:tRNA from 1 species